GGGCGAAUGGUUUAGUGGUAUAAUACUCCCUUAGCAUCUGCUGUACAGCGGAUUCGACGAUUGGGAGUGGUCCGGGGUUCGAUUCCCCGUUUGUCCA
rfam:Beauveria bassiana D1-5 contig00754, whole genome shotgun sequence.